GACGAACGCUGGCGGCGUGCCUAAUACAUGCAAGUAGAACGCUGAAGGAGGAGCUUGCUUCUCUGGAUGAGUUGCGAACGGGUGAGUAACGCGUAGGUAACCUGCCUGGUAGCGGGGGAUAACUAUUGGAAACGAUAGCUAAUACCGCAUAAGAGUAGAUGUUGCAUGACAUUUGCUUAAAAGGUGCAAUUGCAUCACUACCAGAUGGACCUGCGUUGUAUUAGCUAGUUGGUGGGGUAACGGCUCACCAAGGCGACGAUACAUAGCCGACCUGAGAGGGUGAUCGGCCACACUGGGACUGAGACACGGCCCAGACUCCUACGGGAGGCAGCAGUGGGGAAUCUUCGGCAAUGGACGGAAGUCUGACCGAGCAACGCCGCGUGAGUGAAGAAGGUUGUCGGAUCGUAAAGCUCGGUUGUAAGAGAAGAACGAGUGUGAGAGUGGAAAGUUCACACUGUGACGGUAGCUUACCAGAAAGGGACGGCUAACUACGUG
rnacentral:rRNA from 1 species